CCAAACUUUGUAAAAAAAUCUUUAAAAUGGUUAAAUUUUAAAUAAACCUAAUGGCGGGCGACGAGUUAGAAGAUGACCCAAAAUUAAAAGGUUUGUCAAGAUAUUUUAAUGGAACAACAAUAAGAGGCAGAGCUAAUGUAGCCAAACUUACUUAUGCUGUUUUUGCUAUUAUAAUUGUUUACAAUAUUUUUAAACCAAAAAAGAAACACACUGUUGAGAAUGAAAAUUAAACGAAGAAAAACUGCAAAUUAACA